rnacentral:rRNA from 1 species
UCAGCCAUAGUGUGCUNUGGAAACUGUCUGACUUGAGUGCAGAAGGGGAGAGUGGAAUUCCAUGUGUAGCGGUGAAAUGCGUAGAUAUAUGGAGGANCACCAGUGGCGAAAGCGGCUCUCUGGUCUGUCACUGACGCUGAGGCUCGAAAGCGUGGGUAGCGAACAGGAUUAGAUACCCUGGUAGUCCACGCCGUAAACGAUGAGUGCUAGGUGUUAGGCCCUUUCCGGGGCUUAGUGCCGGAGCUAACGCAAUAAGCACUCCGCCUGGGGAGUACGACCGCAAGGUUGAAACUCAAAGGAAUUGACGGGGGCCCGCACAAGCGGUGGAGCAUGUGGUUUAAUUCGAAGCAACGCGAAGAACCUUACCAGGUCUUGACAUCCCGAUGCUAUUCUUAGAGAUAGGAAGUUACUUCGGUACAUCGGAGACAGGUGGUGCAUGGUUGUCGUCAGCUCGUGUCGUGAGAUGUUGGGUUAAGUCCCGCAACGAGCGCAACCCUUAUUGUUAGUUGCCAUCAUUAAGUUGGGCACUCUAGCGAGACUGCCGGUAAUAAACCGGAGGAAGGUGGGGAUGACGUCAAAUCAUCAUGCCCCUUAUGACCUGGGCUACACACGUGCUACAAUGGUCGGUACAACGAGUUGCGAGCCGGUGACGGCAAGCUAAUCUCUGAAAGCCGAUCUCAGUUCGGAUUGGAGGCUGCAACUCGCCUCCAUGAAGUCGGAAUCGCUAGUAAUCGCGGAUCAGCACGCCGCGGUGAAUACGUUCCCGGGCCUUGUACACACCGCCCGUCACACCACGAGAGUUUGUAACACCCGAAGUCGGUGAGGUAACCUUUU